rnacentral:tRNA from 1 species
GGGAGGUCUUAGCUUAAUUAAAGUGUCUGAGUUGCAAUCAGGUGAUGUAUUUUAAAGUUUUACAGGCCUU